UACGUAGGGGGCAAGCGUUGUCCGGAUUUAUUGGGCGUAAAGAGCUCGUAGGUGGUUCGGUAAGUCGGAUGUGAAAUCUCCAGGCUCAACCUGGAGGGGUCAUUCGAUACUGCCGUGACUAGAGUUCGGUAGGGGAGUGUGGAAUUCCUGGUGGAGCGGUGAAAUGCGCAGAUAUCAGGAAGAACACCAAUGGCGAAGGCAGCUCUCUGGGACGGUACUGACGCUGAGACGCGAAAGCGUGGGGAGCGAACAGG
rnacentral:rRNA from 1 species